rnacentral:rRNA from 1 species
GACGGACGCUGGCGGCGCGCUUAACACAUGCAAGUCGAACGGAAAGGCCCCAGCUUGCUGGGGUACUCGAGUGGCGAACGGGUGAGUAACACGUGGGUGAUCUGCCCUGCACUCUGGGAUAAGCCUGGGAAACUGGGUCUAAUACCGGAUAGGACCGUGCUUUAGUGUGUGCGGUGGAAAGUUUUUCGGUGCAGGAUGAGCCCGCGGCCUAUCAGCUUGUUGGUGGGGUAAUGGCCUACCAAGGCGGCGACGGGUAGCCGGCCUGAGAGGGUGUACGGCCACAUUGGGACUGAGACACGGCCCAGACUCCUACGGGAGGCAGCAGUGGGGAAUAUUGCACAAUGGGCGCAAGCCUGAUGCAGCGACGCCGCGUGGGGGAUGACGGCCUUCGGGUUGUAAACCCCUUUCGGCAGGGACGAAGCUUUUGUGACGGUACCUGCAUAAGAAGCACCGGCUAACUACGUG